GUUGACUGUGAUUGGAUCCCGAUGAAGUCAAAGUGUAAAGACAUCCACCAAUCAAGCAACCUUCCCUGCAUCUUGGAAACAUACCUGCCAUCUAGUGGUGGCAAAACGGCAGAGAAUGAAGACAGGCCUCAGCGUUGGAGGAAGAAGCUGACCCAGAGCAGAGAGACUGGGCCUGGGGGUCAGAAUCACCCUGGGAGUGCUGCUAGUGACCCAGACAGCGUCAGUCGCCAGGCUCUGCUAGAUCAGGUUGGUGGCACCCCAAGAAUUACAGCCUUGGUGGAUACCAUUCAUAUAUACCACAUAGAUAAAUCAAUACAUACGUUUGUAUACAUUUAAAUACAUUUGUCUCUAGGAUACCAAUACGAUGAAUGAUGUACGAAUAUGUUACUGGAAAAUAUAUGUACCCGAAACCCAUGAGGUUGUCUUUCUGUCUCUGUCUCACAAAGUUACAUUUUCUCUAUUCAUCUACACAGUAGUAUUGUAGGUGUUGAUUUCUGAAUGUUAAUAUUUUUUGUCUCGGACAUCAGCGCCAUCUAGAGGCGUACAGAAACAUGCACCGUCUCAGAGACAUCCUGUACCGUCGAUACUCUGCCAUGCUCAGAGAUAAGAUACACACACAGAGACAGGAGAUACAACGCCGUGCUGCGGCAGCUGGAGUCACCGAGGAUAAACACAUACCGAAACUGAGGAAGCUGACCUGUUCUACUCUCUCCCAUGACAACACAUACCUGAGGUCUCUUCCUCAAACCAGCUACUACCUGAUCUUGGACCUUCAGAACCAGUUGUCUCGGCAUGGUUGUCUGAAGACCCUCCAGGACCAAGAGGACUUCUGUUUUAUGGUUAACCACCACCACCACCACAACCGUGGUCCAGUCCAGCUGCAGAGAACACUACAGGAGAUCAGGAAGAGGAUGAUUGGCAGCCGCUCCGCACCUGAUGUGAUGUCAGCGGGAUGGGGUUGGAGUCAGCAGGAGAUGUCAGUACAGACCCCUAGAAUUCACGUCACCACAGAGGCAAGACACCUGGACCGGAUUGUCCAUUCAGAGACAGGGAGAGGGCUUAUGCCGGGAGAGAGACUUCCAGAAAGAGGGGCUGGGAAGAGACUUCCAGAAAGAGGGGCUGGGGAGAGACUUCCAGAAAGAGGGGCUGGGGAGAGACUUCCAGAAAGAGGGGCUGGGAAGAGACUUCCAGAAAGAGGGGCUGGGGAGAACUCUGCAGCCUUCCUCCUCUCACAGCAGGAACAGGACUACACGGAGCAAAUGUUUCCCAAGGUGAAGGUUCCCAAGUUUGCAACCCUUCAGCCUAGUUUUCUGAAGAACUUGAAGACGGUGAUGCCAACUGUGGGAGUUGAGGAGAUACCUGAGAAGAGUAAGAGAGCAGAGAUGACUGUGAGGAUGCUGAGACACAUGCACAGCCAGUCCCUUACCAACAUGGCUGUCUCUCAGAGACUGCUACUGGACAGAGACAGACACUCACUGUGCUGCUGCUGGGAACAGAAGAGGAGUUUCGAAGAUUUGACGCAGUAUGUAUUUCCGAGUGUUCACUCUGACGAAGAGAAGAAGAAGAGAUGUGCUGGGAACCUCCCUCCUCUCCUUCCUCCUCUCCUUCCUCUCCCUCCUCCUCCGUCCUACCAGGAAUGGACCAGGAUCGACCCAGAUGAUUCAGAGGUCCCUAGCCUGGCCCUGGAAGAGCUUGGGCUGAGGACCAUACCCUCUGCUGGAAACACAGAAAUAUGUAGCAAGACUCCUGAGCCUUUAUCCAUAGAAGAUGUGUGUCAACGCAACCCUUCAGGGGUGAUACAUUGUGGAUAUAAGCUUUGGAGGAAUUAUGACGAGGAGACAGCCUAUUGAGUAUCUUCGUUUGAUGUGAAGGCCACUAGGCUACACCAAUCACCAAUCACCAAUACCAUGAAUGAGAUAAAAAGAUUAUGAGAUUAUGUAUUAUUUUGACACCAGUUCACUGAGAGAGCAGUUCACUUAGAGACCAGUUCACAGAGACCAGUUCACUGAGAGACCAGUUCACUGAGAGACCAGUUCACUGAGAGACCAGUUCACUUAGAGACCAGUUCACUUAGAGACCAGUUCACUGAGAGACCAGUUCACUGAGACCAGUUCACUGAGAGACCAGUUCACUGAGACCAGUUCACUGAGAGACCAGUUCACUGAGACCAGUUCACAGAGAGACCAGUUCACUUAGAGACCAGUUCACAGAGAGACCAGUUCACAGAGAGACCAGUUCACAGAGAGACCAGUUCACAGAGAGACCAGUUCACUCUGGAUUCCUAUUGUGUUUGUCUUCGACUAUAUCAACAACAACAAAACGAUAUAGAUGGUAAAAUUUCAAAUGAUUUUACAAAUAAAAUGUAUUAUUAGCAGUAUGUGUUUUAUAUCAACAUUGAGUAAAGAACUAAAGGCAAAUAACGAAUAGAAAAGCAAUUAUUUAACUACCAAUUCUUUUUUAAGAGAAAUAUAACCCAUGUGUAUUUAGAACGACACGUUCUACUCACUCGAUUGAUUCUGAUUGUGAAUGAUUUAAGCUAAUAAUAAAACUUGCUAAGAAGUUGAUUUUUUGACGCGCCUGUUGCUAUGGUUAUUGUUUAAUCGUUAAGGCCUGGAGUGCAUUUCCUGUGUUUUGUCACCUACCUGACUACAUCCCAGGACUCAAAAAUAACAUCUUUAUUAAUAGGCCUCACCUUUAAUCAUGGCCUUCGUGGGAAAUGGUUUGUAAAUGAUUUCAGUCAGGACUAUUAUUGACGAGGAAAAGCAGAAUUUAAAAAAAAAUAAUGUGGUAAAAUAUAAACUGCUUUAUUGGAGGAAAACGUCCAAGUAUGUAUUUUGCAGAGAAAGUUUAAAAAAAAAAACAAAUAUAAUUAAAAUAUUUCCUGUCUAUCUGAUUAGAGCUUGAGCAUCAGACAUAAAUGUAUUUAUGCAUUCGACUAUAGGUCUGAGUCCUACCCAUCAGAACACACAGUCUUCAGUAUAGAGCUUAGUAAAACCAGAAAGAAAUACCUUAACGUUAAAAUCUCAGUUUCUUUCUGCAGGUGUGUCGUUGAUAUAGGCUACUGUAUGUGUAAAUAUGGACAGAUUGAAGUAAUAAAGCAAUUCAGAUUGGCUGGUGAGCCAUCGACUUCAGACACAUUACCCAUCCUUCCUAGUCCGACUCAUAUGGCCGCACUCAACCAAUGGCUGACCAGACAGCAUACACCAGAGCAAAGAACAGCCAACCAGCGAUCAUCCAGAACUAUCCGGCGAUGGACUGAUUUAGGAGUAGGCUAUAUAUUUGUGUACCAUGUGUAUGUGACAAAUAAAAUUUGAUUUGAUUUGAUUUGAUUUGGAAACUUUCAAUCUAAUGGAGAAGAUUGAUAUAUUCAAGAGGUACAGUGGGGCAAAAAAGUAUUUAGUCAGCCACCAAUUGUGCAAGUUCUCCCACUUAAAAAGAUGAGAGAGGCCUGUAAUUUUCAUCAUAGGUACACUCCAACUACGACAGAGAAAAUGAGAAAAAAAAUCCAGAAAAUCACAUUGUAGGAUUUUUAAUGAAUUUAUUUGCAAAUUAUGGUGGAAAAUAAGUAUUUGGUCACCUACAAACAAGCAAGAUUUCUGUCUCUCACAGACCUGUAACUUCUUCUUUAAGAGGCUCCUCUGUCCUCCACUCGUUACCUGUAUUAAUGGCACCUGUUUGAACUUGUUAUCAGUAUAAAAGACAUCUACUUUUUGUCAUGCACAAAGUAGAUGUCCUAACAAACUUGCCAAAACUAUAGUUUGUUAACAAGAAAUGUGUGGAGUGGUUGAAAAACAAGUUUUAAUGACUCCAACCUAAGUGUCUGUAAACUUCUGACUUCAACUGUAUGUGCACUUUGUUUAAAUACAUUACAAAGUUACACUUUAAAUGCAAAUGUUUAAUAGCAUUAUUUUUCAUAACAAACCAAUGCAUUUUUUAAAUACAUUGUGGUUAAGGUAGAGUAUGAUUUCAUUUAAUGAAUGAAUUAAUUAUAAUUGUUUUAACACCAAUCAUAGUCAAACUAUCGCAAACUGUUUGACUUGAAAAAAAAUACAAAACAUAUAUUUUAUUUAAAGAGCCGUUUGGGAGCCAAAAGAGCCGUCUCUUUUUGGUGAGUUGAACCGAAGGAUCCAGCUCACUGAAAACAACCGGAACGCCCAUCACUACCAUGUAAUUCUAAUGGUCUAUGUUAGACACGUCUGGGAUAAUAACUUAAUAGGAGCAGUUCUUUUUUAGUGCUGAUUUGCCCACCACCACUGCAGAGGCUGUCUUUAACACAAUGGAUAUGCACCUGGGCUCCGUGGGACUGGUCUGGGUGCGUCGGUGUGACCACUGAUGGGGCAUCUGCCAUGACCGGAAGGCACUUCGGAGUAGUAAAGCGGAUCCUGGAGACAGCAUCGAGUGCCCACGUGGAACCACUGCUUCUUACACAGGGAGGCAUUGGCAGCGAAGGACAUGGUGGCUGAGCUCCACGACACUCUCCAGGGAUGUGAUCAAGUGUAUCAGCUAUAUCAAAAAUAAAAGGUGUUCACAGGCCAUCUUUAGGGAUAUGAGGAGCGAGCACCAGUAGGUGCUUUAUCAUGCAGAGGUCCGCGAGCUUUCCGGGGGUAAAGUUUUGGGUCGCUUUUAUGAGCUUUGAGCGGAGAUUGCUGCGUGUCUUUCGCAAAACAAGUCAUCUCUGCCCGAACAUUUCGAUUGUGAGGAAUGUCUCGCACGGGUUGCCUACCUGGCAGAUAUUUUUGAACAUCUGAAUUCGCUCAAUGUGUCAAAGCAAGGGAGGGGCACCAUCGAUUUGAACAGAGGGAGCAAGUGGAUGCCUUCAAGAUGAAGUUUACCGUUUGGGAAAAUCAUGUUUCGAAUGGGAGUGUUGACAUGUUUCCUAAUGAUGAUUUGAUCAACAAAGCGCACGGCGACACUGAAAAAAAAUAAAUAAUAAUUAUUAAACAGCAUCUUGUCAAGCUGCAGGGAACGUUUAGCCACUACUUCCCCGGAGGAGAACAGGAGACAAGACGACUGGAUUACGGGACCCCUUUCGAGAGGAGAUGGGAGGCGUCACGUUGCCAAGCAACUGGAGAGGAUCAGCUGGUGGAGCUGUCGUUUGAUCGCGGACUGAGCAUGCGCAUCGCGGAAAUGACACUGCCACAGUUCUGGUGCAGCUUAGUGGGAGAGUAUCCUGCUCUCGCCUGUCAUGCGAUCAGAAUCAUGCUGCCCGUUCAGCACUACAUAUCUGUGUGAAAGUGGCUUCUCUGCUAUGUCCGUGCUGAAAACUAAAAGCAGAAACAAACUGGGCAGCCAGCAUGACCUGCGAGUUGACCUGUCAACCAUCACCCCAGACUUCAAUAAACGUAUCAAACUGAGGAAACACCCCCAGCUUUCCCACUGAUAGGCUACAACACACAGACAAUAAAUAAACAGGUUCAUGAGUUAUCGUUCACUAGGUUAAUUAUUAUUGUUAAUGAAUUCAUAUGACAUGUUAUUGAACUGGUUACAAACUUAC
ensembl:lncRNA